rnacentral:rRNA from 1 species
GAGUUUGAUCCUGGCUCAGAACGAACGCUGGCGGCAGGCCUAACACAUGCAAGUCGAGCGGUCGUAGCAAUACGACAGCGGCGCACGGGUGAGUAGCGCGUGGGAACCUGCCCUUUGGUUCGGAACAACCCUGGGAAACUAGGGCUAAUACCGGAUAAGCCUCCGCGAGGAGGGAAAGAUUUAUCGCCGAAGGAGGGGCCCGCGUCCGAUUAGCUAGUUGGUGGGGUAAUGGCCUACCAAGGCUGCGAUCGGUAGCCGGUCUGAGAGGACGAUCGGCCACACUGGGACUGAGACACGGCCCAGACUCCUACGGGAGGCAGCAGUGGGGAAUAUUGGACAAUGGGCGCAAGCCUGAUCCAGCCAUGCCGCGUGGGUGAAGAAGG